rnacentral:rRNA from 1 species
UACGGAGGGUGCGAGCGUUGUCCGGAAUCACUGGGCGUAAAGGGCGCGUAGGCGGCUCGGUAAGUAGGGGGUGAAAUCCUGCGGCUUAACCGCAGGGCUGCCUUCUAAACUGUCGAGCUCGAGCACGGUAGAGGCAGAUGGAAUUCCCGGUGUAGCGGUGGAAUGCGUAGAUAUCAAGAGGAACACCAGUGGCGAAGGCGAGUCCCUGGACGAUACCUGACACUGAGGCACGAAAGCUAGGGGAGCAAACAGG